AGUACAGACGAGUUUGAUCCUGGCUCAGGAUGAACGCUAGCGGCAGGCCUAACACAUGCAAGUCGAGGGGUAGUUACUUUCGGGUAAUGAGACCGGCGCACGGGUGCGUAACGCGUAUGCAAUCUACCUUUUACAGGGGAAUAGCCCAGAGAAAUUUGGAUUAAUGCCCCAUAGUAUGUAUGAAUCGCAUGGUUUAUACAUUAAAGUUCCAACGGUAAAAGAUGAGCAUGCGUCCCAUUAGUUAGUUGGUAAGGUAACGGCUUACCAAGACGAUGAUGGGUAGGGGUCCUGAGAGGGAGAUCCCCCCACACUGGUACUGAGACACGGACCAGACUCCUACGGGAGGCAGCAGUGAGGAAUAUUGGACAAUGGGCGCAAGCCUGAUCCAGCCAUGCCGCGUGCAGGAAGAAGCAUCUAUGGUGUGUAAACUGCUUUUGUACGGGAAGAAACACUCCUUCGUGAAGGAGCUUGACGGUACCGUAAGAAUAAGGAUCGGCUAACUCCGUG
rnacentral:rRNA from 1 species